rnacentral:lncRNA from 1 species
AUUUUCACUUAAUAGACAAUUCUUAACCAGCCUUUUGGCUCCAGUUUCUUAAGGAUGGCCCUCUAUCUGAUCGCAGCUAUAAAACUAAGGACUCUUUUAUACGAAGAAAGCAGAGAAUUUGAUAUUAAAUUGUGAGAUUGAAAAGCACCACUUUUAGCAGCCAGUUUAUAAGGCAGCUAGGAACAUCCUAAAAUGCCUGCUGGUCACAGUUCCCUUCUGAGCAAAGCAGCUAUAUGGUCUCUACGCAUAAGUCUGCUUUCUUCAAACACAGGAUCCACUCCAUUGUGACUAGGUUGAUAAAGCACGGUGAUUGUGUGUAUGAAACUACUCUGCUCACUUUUCUCAAUAAGGAGCAGUCCCAGGAAGGUGCUUUAAAUCUUCGUGGAUCAUUGAGCUGGGCCGGAACACAAAGGGCUGGUCAAGGUUCAAAGAUUAGGCAGAAUUUCUCUCCAACAAGAUUCAAGCUUGCUUUCACUUUGCAUCACCGGAACAAACAAGCAGAGCAAAGGCUCCCCUACCCGGGAGGACUGAUGGGAGACAGCUGUGGUUCCUCUUGCUCUUACUUUCUCAAAAAGGUGCACCAGGGUUCGGAGCCUCAAUCGAGCAGAAACAAGUUCAUGAUGAAUCCUUCAUUGGAGCUGCAGGGGGACCACAGGAAGCUAUGCCCUCUGCAACCAUCUCAGAAAAUCAUGUACUACUGUGACCUCUGGAUUUUUGUUCCAGGUACAGGCCGUGACAACUUCAAGAAGUCACAUAAUCCCUCCAAAUUUCAGUUUCCUUCUCUGGAAAGUGUUUAUAUACAGUGUUGUUGAGAAAAAGCACACAGUGAAGAAGAAAGAGUAGUUUGGAGUCACACAGAACUCUAUUCAAAC